AUUUUAAAACAUAAAUGCGUUGCAUGUGAUAGAAAAAGACAGAAUGCUAUUCUGUCUUCGCUGCACAGCACACCUAUCUAUCGUCAUGCCUCUGGCGGUCGUAAAUUGAAAACAAAAGCGCAACCAUUAAGCCGACGUACCGUAAGGCCCCACUACUGUUGUUGCAAGACUUGUGAAGAGACGGUGACGGUAAUAGGGCGUGGCAUUAAAUUAUAACGUUAUGCGGUAGUUGUAGGGUUGAGAGGCCUGAUGUAGACAAAAUCCGAAUCAUUGAUUGUUACAUAGGAAGAGUCAAUGGCUUUGCGUACGGUUCGUCUCAGAGAUUUAUCAAAAUGAAACGUAAGGGGGUUUUGAAACCUGUUGGCCCAGCAGAUAUGUACAGAUUACCAGCGACAUCAUCUAUUGAAUACGGGUGGUGGCAGCAUGAUCCCGCUAUCAAUGAGUCUUCCUGGUACAAAACUCAUCCAAGAAGACCGCAGCCUUCAUCACCGAAUACUCUUACUCUUGAUGUUGUUAGAAAGAAUAAUAAAUACGCUACACUAUUUUAAAUAUAAUUUUUAAAUUGA